GGCGGGUCUCCCUGCAUAGCAAGUUGGAGCAACGGGUCAGGGGCGGAAGCCAGCAGCCCACUCUGAGGCGUUAGUGCCAGGGGUUUGGCUCGCCACC
rfam:Neisseria sp. KH1503 contig4, whole genome shotgun sequence.